UGGGGAAUAUUGGACAAUGGGCGAAAGCCUGAUCCAGCAAUUCCGCGUGUGUGAAGAAGGCCUUCGGGUUGUAAAGCACUUUAGGCAGGGAAGAAAAAAUCGGAGUGAAUAACUCCGGUCUUGACGGUACCUGAGAAAUAAGCACCGGCUAACUCUGUGCCAGCAGCCGCGGUAAUACAGAGGGUGCAAGCGUUAAUCGGAUUUACUGGGCGUAAAGCGUGCGUAGGCGGUUCACUAAGUCGGUUGUGAAAUCCCUGGGCUUAACCUGGGAACUGCAGUCGAUACUGGUGGACUAGAGUGCGGUAGAGGGUGGCGGAACUCCGGGUGUAGCGGUGAAAUGCGUAGAUAUCCGGAAGAACACCGAUGGCGAAGGCAACCACCUGGGCCUGCACUGACGCUGAGGUACGAAAGCGUGGGGAGCAAACAGGAUUAGAUACCCCGGUAGUCC
rnacentral:rRNA from 1 species